UUCGAAGCAACGCGCAGAACCUUACCAGCCCUUGACAUACCGGUCGCGGACACAGAGAUGUGUCUUCAGUUCGGCUGGACCGGAUACAGGUGCUGCAUGGCUGUCGUCAGCUCGUGUCGUGAGAUGUUGGGUUAAGUCCCGCAACGAGCGCAACCCUUGCCUUUAGUUGCCAGCAGUUCGGCUGGGCACUCUAAAGGGACUGCCGGUGUUAAACCGGAGGAAGGUGGGGAUGACGUCAAGUCCUCAUGGCCUUUAUGACCAGGGCUACACACGUACUACAAUGGCCGAUACAAAGGGCAGCGACACUGCGAGGUGAAGCCAAUCCCGUAAAAUCGGUCUCAGUCCGGAUUGGAGUCUGCAACUCGACUCCAUGAAGUUGGAAUCGCUAGUAAUCGUGGAUCAGCAUGCCACGGUGAAUACGUUCCCGGGCCUU
rnacentral:rRNA from 1 species